UGCCGGGGAAGUGGCGCGCGGGGCUCCCGGCUUCCCAGCCCCCUUCCGGCAGGCAGGAGCCCAGGCGGCGGACACACUCCGUGAUCCCCUUCUGGCUGGAGGGGUCAGGCUUGGUGGACCCAGCAAGCAGCCUGAUGGAGUAGGGGGCACCAGACGCAGACCCGUACCGUCCAGGACUGCAAGCCCUCGCCGGCUCUGCGAGCUUUUAGGUUUCGUCUCUACCUCUGCACACCCACACUCGCCUCCUGGGCCGCGACAGCUUCCUCCUGUCAAUCAGGUCUUCCGUAAUGUCAGCAGUGGACUCGUGUGCUUAAGGAGAGAGAGAUUUGGAAAAUACAGACAGAGAACAAGGCCAUGUGGAGACAGAGGCAGAGACUGAAGUUGUGCCACCAAAGGCAAAGAAUAUCAAGUAUCGUCAGUAACCCCAGGAAGCUAGAAGAGGCCAGGAAAGAUUUUUCUUAGAGACCUUGGAAGGAGCCUGACCCUGGAACACCCUGAAUUUAGACUUCUGGCCCCCCAAAACUGUGAAAGAAUAAAUUUCUGUUGUUUUAAGCAA